UACCUACGGGACGCAGCAGUGGGGAAUAUUGCACAAUGGGGGAAACCCUGAUGCAGCGACGCCGCGUGAGUGAAGAAGUAUCUCGGUACGUAAAGCUCUAUCAGCAGGGAAGAAAAAAAGUCUUUGGCUUUGGACGGUACCUGACUAAGAAGCCCCGGCUAACUACGUGCCAGCAGCCGCGGUAAUACGUAGGGGGCAAGCGUUAUCCGGAUUUACUGGGAGUAAAGGGAGCGUAGACGGGAGCGCAAGUCUGGAGUGCAAUGCCGGGGCUCACCCCCGGAACUGCUUGGGA
rnacentral:rRNA from 1 species